AUUGAACGCUGGCGGCAGGCCUAACACAUGCAAGUCGAACGAGUGGCGGAAGGGUGAGUAAUGUAUGGGAAACUGCCUGAUGGAGGGGGAUAACUACUGGAAACGGAAGCUAAUACCGCAUACCAUCAGAUGUGCCCAGAUGGGCUUAGCUUGUUGGUGGGGUAACGGCUCAACAAGGCGAGGAUCACUAGAUGGUCUGCGAGGAUGACAAGCCACACUGGAACUGAGACACGGUCCAGACUCCUACGUGAGUCAGCAGUGGGGAAUAUUGCACAAUGGGCGCAAGCCUGAGGCAGCCAUGCCGCGUGUAUGAAGAAGGCCUUCGGGUUGUAAAGUACUUUCAGCGGGGAGGCGUUACCCGCAGAAGAAGCACCGGCUAACUCCGUGCCAGCCGCCGCGGUAAUUC
rnacentral:rRNA from 1 species